AAUAUAUAAAAGGAAAAGAUGACUGACCGACUGAUAUACAACGCAUGGCUCAAACUACUGUAGAUACGGAUCGGGCUGUUUGGCAUGCAGAUAGCUAUUUAUGUCGUAGACCUCCGCUAAGAAAGGAUUUUUUAAAAUUAAACUCCCAAGGGGGUAAAUAGGGGGUUUAAAGGUAUGUAAUCCACGCGGACGAAGUCGCGGGCAUCCUCUAGU